UUUAUUCAGACAGACGGUCAAUUAUAAAGUGAGAUUCACUGCAGCAGGUGUGGCCACAGGUGUGUGUGUGUUUUACUUCAAGAGUUUAAAUAGCCAACCACAACCACACACACUCCUUUAAACCACAAGUUUACCAGAAGACGAGGAAGGUGACACCAUCAGAGGGACCUUGUAUCAUGCAGGUCCAUUUCAACUGGUGAACAUGUUACAGGACAUUACAGGACACAAUACCUGACAGUGAGAGACGACAUGAUGAAGAUCAAACUGCUUCUGCUGAUCUGGACUGCAUCUGUGAACAGCCUGCCGUGGCAAGCCUCCCCCCUGUCUGGCGUCAGCCCCUGGGGGAUAGGAGCGGGUCACGAGAGAGGAGAGGACCCAGACGGCAGCUCAGCCCGGACUGGCCAGGACAGUAGAAAGGGGUGGGGUCUCGCCUUAGAGGGGUUUCCGGGAGUCACGCCUACCACGUUCCCUCAACCAACCAGAGGACAGGACAGUGGCCCCUCUCCCAGACCUACUUACGUGAGGAGGGGGCGUAGUCUCAAGGUUGAUGACAUCGCCAGCAAUGACAUUACAGAGGAGGAGCUGACAACGUCCUAUAAAACUCUUCCUGGUUACAGUGAGGACCGGUUGCUAGGGGAGGAGUUUGGUGAUUAUGGGAUGCAGAGGGACUCACCCGGCAGUGAAUCGCAUACCGGGAAAGACUCGACAGAUCACAAUGACUCCUCCAAAUCAAGUGAUUCAGUUGACUCUAACACCUCUAGUGAUUCAAGCGAUUCCUCCAAGUCAAGUGACUCUAACACCUCUAGUGAUUCAAGCGAUUCCUCCAAGUCAAGUGACUCUAGUGAUUCAAGUGAUUCCAGCGACUCAAGUGAUUCAAGUGACUCUAGCGACUCUAGCGAUUCAAGCGACUCUAGCGACUCUAGCGACUCUAGUGACUCUAGUGAUUCUAGCGACUCUAGCGACUCAAGCGAUUCUAGCGACUCAAGUGAUUCUAGCGACUCAAGUGAUUCUAGCGACUCAAGUGAUUCUAGCGACUCUAGCGACUCAAGUGAUUCUAGCGACUCAAGUGAUUCUAGCGACUCAAGUGAUUCUAGCGACUCAAGUGAUUCUAGCGACUCAAGUGAUUCUAGCGACUCUAGCGAUUCAAGUGACUCUAGUGAUUCAAGUGACUCUAGUGAUUCAAGUGAUUCUAGCGACUCAAGUGAUUCUAGUGACUCAAGUGAUUCUAGCGACUCCAGCGACUCAAGUGACUCUAGUGAUUCAAGUGACUCUAGUGAUUCAAGUGACUCUAGUGAUUCAAGUGAUUCUGGCAAUACAAGUGAGUCAAGCAACUCUAGUGAUUCUAAGUGAUUCUAAAAGUUAAAGUGAAUCAAUCUCCACAGACAAAUAACGGCAGUGACUCUAGUACCAGCUAGGCAGCGAGAGACAGAGAGGAGAGAGAGACAACAAGACAGAGAAAGACAGAGGAAGAGAGAGAGAGAGAGAGAGAGACAGAGAGAGAGAGAGAGACAGAGAGGGAGAGAACAAGACAGAGAGAGAGAGAGAGAGAGACAGAGAGAGAGAACAAGAGAGAGAGAGAGAGAGAGCGAGAGAGAGAACAAGACCGAGAGAGAGAGAGAACAAGACAGAGAGAGAGAGAGAACAAGACAGAGAGAGAGAGAACCAGAGCCAGAUGUCAUACUAUGUCUCAAGCUUGUAGGACUGCGAUAGUACCUUUUUAUAUAGAUUAUAGAUAUAUUUUAUAUAGAUAUCUGAUGUGCUUUUCUACGUGUGUCUCAUUUUACAGUUGUGUUUUUCAUGUUUACUAGUAAAUAAAGUGUUCCACAAUAAAACACUGGCCAAGUGACUUAUGUAACGUAGAGGCCUUUUAAAUGGGUUUAUAUGAUCACACACACACACUUAAAUUUAAACUUACAUUUCAAUUUAAUUUUCAAUGACAUCAUUGUUGUGCUUUGUGUGAUUUUAACCACGUAGGCAUUGCCUCCUG
ensembl:lncRNA